UCAAGCUAUCCUCCUGCCUCAGCCUCCCUAGUAGCUGGACCUACAGGCACAUACCACAACACCUGGCCCUAUUUUAUCUUUUAACUUAAAAAUAAAUACAAAUUUUAAAAAAGGAGUUAGAAAAACAUAGUAAACAUAGCUGUAUUUAAACUAUAUAUAAUGUAAUUAUUAUUUUAACAUAAUGCUUGGCAUAUUUAAAUGAAUGUAACUAAUUAGUGAACCUUAGGCUAAUUUCUCUUAACUAUCAAAUUGUGUAUCUACCCUCUCAGUAACCCCACAUGAAUAUAUGAAGGAUAUCUCUAAGUUAAUAUGGUCAAAACUGAAACCCCAAACAUGGUCUCCCUGACUCUUCCUUAUUUCAGUAAAAAGCAUCAUCGUCUAUAUAUUUGCUAAAGCCAAAGUACAAGAGAUCGUCUUUUUUUUCUUAUCUCCUCUCAGCUUCAGCAAACUAACCUCAAAAUCCAAACAAGUAUCAUCAAACUCACCCACAAAAUAUAUCCCUGAAUCUGUUUAUUAUACUUCAGCUCCUUUAACAAUCUCCAAAGCCAUCAUAAUUUCACCCUAGUUUCGCCACCCUAAUUCCAUUACGUGUCAUUAUUUUUUUCUAGUUUACCAAAGAAACCACCAAACAGAUAUGUUUACUGUCAAUCCAUUCUCCACAGGAAAGUCUGAGUGAUAUUUUAAAAAGAAAAAAAGUCAUGACAAUCACCUACUUAAAUAUCUCCAGUGGUUUUUCUCAGUGUUUAAAAUACAAUCCAGAUAUUUUAUGUGUGGAAAUCUCUACCAGAUCUGUCCCCAGCCUACCUUCUCAGUGUCAACUCAUAUCACAAGAACACUGAUCAUCUAACUGUUCCUCAGACAGGGUGAAUCAGGACCAGUGCAAUAAAUCACCCUCAAUACUUCCUGUGAAUGGCAACUGCUGAAGGGAAGCUUCUGCCUCUCAUCAUACACUGCCUCAGGGGGGAACAAAAUAGAUCAUUACAAUGGAGGCCAAAGAGUGCUUGAAUGUCUCUGCCGAAGGCUUUCAAUAAAUAUUUGUUGAAAAAGAAAGGAAGAAAGAAAAUGAAGAAGGAACGAAGGAGGAAAGGAAAGAAGGAAAGAAGGAAGGAAGGAGUUAAUGAAGACUCAAGGUGAUUCUUAACUUUCUAAUACAGAAUUCUCUUUUCGUUUCCUCCUUCAAUCCAGAUAAAUGACAUGCCGUGAUGGAAAAUCUGAAAUAUGUUUUGUGAUGCCUUUUUGCUGCUACUACCAACAGUAAACUCAAACUCUUGAAACUGGUUUUUUUUCCUCUUUUUCUGCCAUGCCCCAUAGUAAUCUUCCUUGCUUGCAUGUUCCACUACAACUCAGUGAUGCUUCAGAUAUGCAACUAAACUACUGCACAAUAAAUAUAAAGCUAGGACAAGUCACUUAAUUCAGGUUUAAAUAUACAAAUUUUCCUUGCAGUAACUUAAAAUUGAUACUUCUCAUCCACUGAUUUCCUGUCAGGAUCUUGCCUACUAAGGGCCAUGAUUAUUGUGGCUGGCAUAUCUCAUUUUUUCCCUUUAGUUAGGCAAAUUACUUUAGUGACACUCUUGGUAGAGACUCUUUUGUUUGGUGUCUGGAAGACGGUCUUUUUUUUUUUUUCUUUUUCCUUUCCCAGUGUUUUCUUUAUAAUUUUUGUAGUCUACUGUAAUGGGUAAGCUUGGACUAUAAACUCAGUUUUGAGUUCUGAGACUGACUUAUACUCUUAAAACUUAGAUGAUUUAUUUUAUUUCGGAGACUUUAAUUUCAUCAUCAGAAAAAUGAGAGCACUGCCAGAGAAGACCUCUAGGAUCUCUGCUAUUGAAUGAUUGUGUGAUUCUCUGCAGAAAGGAUGUUCUGCUCUGAUUGGCAGGGAGAGUUUGAAGGUGGGUUGGCAGAGACUGUGACCGCAACUGACUGCGUUCUGCAGAAUUAUGGUAAUGAAAUUGGAAGCCAACUUUCGUGAAGCAGAAAGCCUCAAGUUUCCAGGUGCUGUGCUCAGUCCAGGAAUACAAUGAUGAAUACGAUCAAGGCCCUUUCAGAGCUGACACACACUAUACAUAAUGCAUCAAAAAUUGCGUUCUCGCUAUAUUUCUGUUUAUUUGGUUUUAUCUGCAAGAAUAUAGAUAGCAUCUGCUUUGAUAUAAAACUUUUAUGUGUCUUAUGUAGUUGAUUUGUAAAUGUCCUAUCUAUAAAUAUAAAACAAUAAAUUACUAGUUACAGUUAACUUAGGAAAACUUUUAAUCAUGUCCUACAUUUUACACCUUGUAAUUUCUACCAAAUGUUUGUAUUUUUAUGUCUUAUUAAAUAUAAUAAAUAUUUGUCUUAACAUAUUUUAAUAGAAUUCCUCAUAUGUUUUGCAGAAAGCUAAUUAUGGUUUUC
rnacentral:lncRNA from 10 species